UACGUAGGGUGCAAGCGUUGUCCGGAAUUAUUGGGCGUAAAGAGCUCGUAGGUGGCGGGUCACGUCGGGUGUGAAAGCCCGGGGCUUAACCCCGGGUCUGCAUUCGAUACGGGUCUGCUGGGGUCCGGCAGGGGAGACUGGAAUUCCUGGUGUAGCGGUGAAAUGCGCAGAUAUCAGGAGGAACACCGGUGGCGAAAGCGGCGCACUGGACCACAACUGACGCUGAGGCGCGAAAGCUAGGGGAGCAAACAGG
rnacentral:rRNA from 1 species